rnacentral:rRNA from 1 species
UACGUAGGGGGCAAGCGUUGUCCGGAUUUAUUGGGCGUAAAGAGCGUGUAGGCGGCUUUACAGGUCCGUUGUGAAAACUCGAGGCUCAACCUCGAGACGCCGGUGGAAACCGUAAAGCUAGAGUCCGGAAGAGGAGAGUGGAAUUCCUGGUGUAGCGGUGAAAUGCGUAGAUAUCGGAAGGAACAUCAGUGGCGAAAGCGACUUCCUGGCCUGUUCUUGACGCUGAGGCGCGAAAGCUAGGGGAGCGAACGGG